rnacentral:rRNA from 1 species
UACGGAGGGGGCUAGCGUUGUCCGAAGUUACUGGGCGUAAAGCGCGCGUAGGCGGGUUGGUAAGUCCGCUGUGAAAGCCCGGAGCUUAACUCCGGAGGGUCGGUGGAUACUGCCAGUCUUGAAGGUGCUAGGGGGAGAUGGAAUACCGGUGUAGCGGUGAAAUGCGUAGAUAUCGGUAGGAACACCAGUGGCGAAGGCGGUCUCCUGGGGCAUUCUUGACGCUGAGGCGCGAAAGCUGGGGGAGCAAACGGG